rnacentral:tmRNA from 1 species
ACCUAUUGGACCCGGGGGCGGUACCCGGCGCCUCCACCAUAAAUCAAAAAUAAUGUUUGCUUUAUGAUGGGGGCGAAAUAGGAUCGACAAGGGCGUAAAGAUUGAUCUUUUACUCGGUAUUGUACCACCGUUAUCGGGCUAACUUAGUAGUUGCAAAUGACAACUAUGCGGAAGCUCGUCUCGCUGCUUAAUUGCGGCGCGUACGCUUCAAAUUGAGUCUUAAGCCGUCGCAGGUUUAAGCGGGGUUCGGAGG